rnacentral:rRNA from 1 species
ACCAGCUAUCUGGAAGGGUGUAAACUAAAUAAGGAUAAAGCCCUAAAAAAGAGAGGAUAAUGACGUUAUCUUUUUGACAAGUCUCGACCAAAUCACGUGCCAGCAGUCGCGGUAAAACGUGGGAGGCAAGCGUUAUUGAUCUUAAAUGGGUCUAAAGGGUCCGUAAAACGGUAAAUUAAGCGAAUACCUCUCCUAUUCGGGGGAGGUAGUCUAAUCGAACUGAUUUACUAGAGUCUUAUAGAAGAACAGAGGAAUUGCAAGAGUAAGGAUGAAAUCUAUUGAUACUUGUAGGACCGCCAAAGGCGAAGGCAUCGUUCUAGGUAAAGACUGACGUUGAGGGACGUAGGCGUUGGGAGCGAAAAGGAUUAGAUACCCCUGUAGUCAACGCUGUAAACGAUGAGUGCUUAAGAUUAGUAAUAAUUAUUAAUAAGUAAUUAGGCUUUAAAGCUUUUAACUAUUAUAAAAAAAAAUUAGUCUCGAAAUGAAGAUGUUAAGCACUUCACCUGGGGAGUACUGUCGCAAGGCUGAAACCCAAAACAUUAGACGGUCACGGAAACCAGCAGUGAAGCAUGUUAUUUAAUACGAUGAUCCGCGUACAACCUUACCACUUCUUGAAUGUCCUUUUCUGUAAAAAGAAAAGGCCUAUUUAAUUAAAAAACUUUAAAACAUUAAUUAAAUUUGGAUAAAUACAACAGGCGUUGCAUGGCUGUCUUCAGUUCGUGUCGUGAGAUGUCAGGUUCAUUCCGGUCAACGAAUGAAACCCUUCUUUCUUAAUUUUGCUUUUUUUUUAUUUAUUUAAAUUAAAUUUAUUAAGAUGACCCUUGGAAAACGAGGAUAUAAUGGGGAUUAAGACAAGUCGUCAUGGCCUUUAUGAAGUGGGCUAUA